rnacentral:rRNA from 1 species
GAGUGUCAAAGCAGGCAGAUCCACUUUUCUUNNUCACCGAAUACAUUAGCAUGGGAUAAUCGGAAUAGGACCCUGUCCUCCUAUUUUCAGUUGGUUUUGCACGCGAGGACCAGGGUAAUGAUUAAUAGGGAUAGUUGGGGGCAUUAAUAUUUAAUUGUCAGAGGUGAAAUUCUUGGAUUUAUGAAAGAUUAACUUCUGCGAAAGCAUCUGCCAAGGAUGUUUUCAUUAAUCAAGAACGAAAGUUAGGGGAUCGAAGACGAUCAGAUACCGUCGUAGUCUUAACCAUAAACGAUGCCGACCAGCGAUUAGGAGACGUAUGAAAGUACAAGAACAAGCCAACCAAGUUCCCGGGGUGGCGGGGUUUCCGGGUUCCCCCCGUUUUUUGGGGGACCGAACCCGGGGGUUUU